UUUUGUGGUUGCCGGAAAGCUGACCAGGUCCAGGAGGCGAAGAAGCCCGAGCAAAGCCUGGAAAGAUUGAAGGACAGAUUUGGAAAAAGGAAAGCAGCCAUGAAGGUGAUGCAGAAUGUGCAGUUCGUGUUUGGGGAUGAAAACAGGGUGACCAGAAACUCUUUCAACAAACAAUUGGCUGAAG